UCUGGCCUGCUCACUGAAAAUUAUUUAAAGAGCCGCGGUAUUUUGACCGUGCAAAGGUAGCAUAAUCAUUAGUCUCUUAAUUAGAGGCUGGAAUGAAUGGCUUGACGAGAAAUCAACUGUCUCUUAAUAAAUUUUAGAAUUUAACAUUUGAGUCAAAAGGCUUAAAUUUAUCUUUAGGACGAGAAGACCCUAUAGAGCUUGACAUUUUAACUAAAUAUGGUUUUAAGUUAGUUUUUUUAUAUUUGAUAAAGAUGUUUUGUUGGGGUGACAUGAA
rnacentral:rRNA from 1 species